rfam:Eubacterium sp. CAG:156 genomic scaffold, scf242
UCCAGGAGGAAACAAAAUGAACGAAGUUCAUUUUCUAAAAAUGUUUCCGACGAAUAGCCGCCGACUGAAAGGCGGGGGCAAUACAUAUU